UAGGCCCCAGAAGCCUCACUGAACUCCCCCCGUCUUUCUCUUUCCUUCGGGGGAUAAGAAAUUCUGAAAACCCUAAUCUCUGAAACCAUUAGAAAUGGAAGAUUAAUUUUGAUUUGGGGAAUCUGCAACACCGAGUCACCACUUCCAUUUUGUUCUCCGUAAAAUCAUUUUCUUGGUUUAUUUUACCAAAAAACAAACAUAAACCCUAGCUUUCACUCUGUGGAGAAAUUAGAAGCUGAAAAUGUCAAGCAUGCCGGAAGAGAUCUACCAUGAAAUUCUUCUGAGGUUACCAGUGAAAUCAUUACUUAUGUGGAAGUAUGUUUGCAAGAAUUGGUAUGCCCUAAUUUCUACCUUUGAUUUUGUUCAAUUGCACCUUCAUUUUACUAUCCAGAAGAACAACCCUAUUCUCAUGCUUGAAGGUUCUUCUAGUGGGGGUCUUUACCCCGAGGUACUUUACUCCAUUGGUUAUGAUUCAUUAACAUCAUCAGUAUGUGAAUUUGAAGAAAUGGAUCACCCAUUCAAAUCUUUACGUUAUCUUGUUCGAUUGAUGGGAUCUUGUAAUGGUUUGGUUUGCACAGGGUUGGUUGUUGAUAAUGAUAAUGGUGAUGAGAAGAAUUAUUUUUAUCUUUGGAACCCAGCUACAAGAGAAUAUAAAGAAAUACCCAAAUCACCAAUUAAAUUUGAUAGGGGAUUCAAAUGAGUGCGUUGGGUUAUGAUCACAAUACUGAUGACUACAAGUUGGUAAUAGGCACUGUAGAACCUCCCGGAAGCAAGGGUACUCUGGUGCAAGUCUAUUUGUUAGCAUCAAAUUCAUGGAAACCUGCGAAAACUGUACCUUACAGGUUUCCUAGCUAUUGUCAAAAAACAUAAACAUGGAGUGCUUGUUAAUGGAUACUUUCAUUGGCUGGUGAUAGCUGAACGUAAGUUUUUCUUACUCUCUUUGGAUAUCAGUGACGAGAAUUUCAAAGAAUUGCAACUACUACCAAAAGAAGUACUUGAGAAGAAUAAGCAACCUAGUAUGUCACUUGGAGUGUUGGAAGGGUGCCUGUUCCUUUGCUUAUUGGUCACCUCAGAUGUUGAUGAUGUACAUGUGUUUGAAGUAUGGCAGAUGCGGGAUUAUGGAGUUCAAGAAUCUUGGACUAGACGUUUUAUCAUUCCCCUGAAUAGCAUUAUGGAGAACUGUCUUAUAUUUUUAAGUCCUUUGUGGUCUUUUGAGAACGGUGAAAUUCUAUUCAUGAGUUCUGGUAACCUAGUUUUGUAUGACCCAGAACAUGGAAGUGCUAGAAAACUAAGCAAGCCUAGCAAUAUCACCUGCCUCACCGUAAAUUAUAUUGAAAGCUUAGUUUCUCUCGAGUCUGGUACAUAUGUUUGGGGAGAAGGGCGGAUAGAGGAAUUAAGAGAAACCUGAAGAAGAAGAAUAAGCUUUAGAAGGAAGAAAAACUGGUGAAAUUGAAUAUGUUAUUGGUUCUUGUUGUUGCUAUAUUCCUUCAGUUUUUAGUACAAUGAGUUUUAUGUUUUUCUUCUAAUUUUCAGACCCGUAAUAUGUCAUGAAUUCCUUAAGAUUAGUAAUAUGUUGUUGUCUCCAAUCUAGAGCAAGAUCAUUCUACAUGGAAUUUCAGGUUAUUCUUUUGCAAUUCGUAUCCGGAGUUUUUUUUGUUGAAAAAACGGUGAAAUUGAAAUGUUAUUUGUUGUUGUUGUUGCCAUAUUUCUGCAGCUUUUAGUAAAUUAUCAAUGAGAUAUAAAAUUAGAAAUAUGGUUCUCUUAUGUUUUCUUCUAAUGUUCAGACCCUUAAUGUAUAUCAUGGAUUCCUUAAAAUUAGUAAUAUGUUGUUGAUUCCAAUCUAGAGCAAGAUCAAUUUCAGGUUUUGCAAUUCAUAUCCGAAUAUUAUUUUUUUCAUGCUUUCAUGAUUUGGUUCUUUCUGCUGUAUUGUUACAAUUUAUCUGCUUUAGUUAUGCGAUCGCGACUUUGUUUGUGCCUGCAGCCAACAUGGAACUUUAAUGACAGAUCAUUAAAGGUUAAAAAGAUUUUAUUUCUAGUAAUUGGAUUGCACAAACUGGCUUAGACGUUAACUGGGAAUUGGAAGCUAUGGACAAUGUUUAACCGGAUGAAAUUGCUUACUUAAAAGAGGAUAAUGUUUUCUUUCGGAUUUCCGUCGAUUUUGAUGUGAAUCUACUAAGCUAUGGAUCAGUCAUAUGACUCUUAUGGUUCAGAAUCUAUUUUUGCUUCCAUUUUAUUUUCUUUUUGCAGGCUGAUGAGUUAGCUUUCUUGACUGAAAGCUUCGCUUAACAAAGGGAGAGAGCAAUUUUGUCCGCUCUCAUACAAAGGACAUGGUUGUUUACAAGAGUGCUCUCUCUUGGUGUCAUUCGAUCUCGCUGCCAGUGAAGCAUGAAAGCUUAAUGCAUAUAUUCUCUCAUUGAUCAUGUAUGCUGGCAAGAAGGCAAUUUAGGAGUUGCUUACUUCUGAUGCUUCUGAGAGAACCAUGUAGAAGGAACUCGGCAAAAUAGCCCCGUAACUUCGGGAGAAGGGUUUAUAUAUUGCACAGAGGCACAGUUGGGCGCACAAAUUAUUACUUGGGUACUCUGGAGCUGUGAACUGUGAGCUGGAAUCGCCGGAACUUUCACAUGUUGGCAUCUGCAAGUAAAGAUCGUACUCUUUGAGUAUGAUUUAAAAUGUGUUCAAUUGAUGCGUAAAGAAAAAUAUGAAAAAGGGGGUCGUCCACUGGCGAACUUGAUAAAUAUCAGUAGGAAAAAAAAAAUGGAAAAAGGAGACUUUAGUUUUCUUGUGUCAGGUAGUUGUAUAUUUCUGCUCGAUUCUGUUGAACUUUUGUAAAUGACUAUGGGGUAAUGCUUGCUAUAAACUUGUCUA